UACGAAGGGGGCUAGCGUUGCUCGGAAUCACUGGGCGUAAAGCGCACGUAGGCGGCUUUCUAAGUCAGGGGUGAAAUCCUGGAGCUCAACUCCAGAACUGCCUUCGAUACUGGGAAGCUCGAGUCCGGGAGAGGUGAGUGGAACUGCGAGUGUAGAGGUGAAAUUCGUAGAUAUUCGCAAGAACACCAGUGGCGAAGGCGGCUCACUGGCCCGGUACUGACGCUGAGGUGCGAAAGCGUGGGGAGCAAACAGG
rnacentral:rRNA from 1 species